rnacentral:rRNA from 1 species
UACGGAGGGGGCUAGCGUUGUUCGGAAUUACUGGGCGUAAAGCGCACGUAGGCGGCUUUGUAAGUUAGAGGUGAAAGCCCGGGGCUCAACUCCGGAUCGGCCGUGGCAACUGUGUCGCUAGGGCACCGUAGAGGCAGAUGGAAUUCCGGGUGUAGCGGUGGAAUGCGUAGAGAUCCGGAAGAACACCAGUGGCGAAGGCGGUCUGCUGGGCGGUGAGCUCGUAAGGGCUCAAUAGCCGACACUGAGGCGCGACAGCGUGGGGAGCAAACAGG